CAAAUGACUCUCGGCAAUGGAUAUCUCGGCUCUUGCAUCGAUGAAGAACGUAGUGAAAUGCGAUACUUGGUGUGAAUUGCAGAAUCUCGUGAACCAUUGAGUCUUUGAACGCAAGUUGUGCCCGAGGCCUUGCGGCCGAGGGCACGCCUGCUUGGGUGUCAUGG
rnacentral:rRNA from 1 species